GCCUGAGGGAUAGCUCAGUUGGUAGAGCAUAAAACUCUUAAUCUCAGAGUUGUGGGUUCAAGCCCCAUGCUGGGCA